rnacentral:rRNA from 1 species
UGGGGAAUAUUGGACAAUGGGCGAAAGCCUGAUCCAGCCAUGCCGCGUGUGUGAAGAAGGUCUUCGGAUUGUAAAGCACUUUAAGUUGGGAGGAAGGGCAUUAACCUAAUACGUUAGUGUUUUGACGUUACCGACAGAAUAAGCACCGGCUAACUCUGUGCCAGCAGCCGCGGUAAUACAGAGGGUGCAAGCGUUAAUCGGAAUUACUGGGCGUAAAGCGCGCGUAGGUGGUUUGUUAAGUUGGAUGUGAAAGCCCCGGGCUCAACCUGGGAACUGCAUCCAAAACUGGCAAGCUAGAGUACGGAAGAGGGUGGUGGAAUUUCCUGUGUAGCGGUGAAAUGCGUAGAUAUAGGAAGGAACACCAGUGGCGAAGGCGACCACCUGGACUGAUACUGACACUGAGGUGCGAAAGCGUGGGGAGCAAACA